rnacentral:rRNA from 1 species
GUAGGGGGCAAGCGUUGUCCGGAUUUACUGGGCGUAGAGAGCGUGUAGGCGGCCAAGCAGGUCCGUUGUGAAAACUGGAGGCUUAACCUCCAGACGUCGACGGAAACCGCGUGGCUAGAGUCCGGAAGAGGAGAGUGGAAUUCCUGGUGUAGCGGUGAAAUGCGCAGAUAUCAGGAAGAACACCAAUGGCGAAGGCAGCUCUCUGGGACGGUACUGACGCUGAGACGCGAAAGCGUGGGGAGCGAACAGGAUUAGAUACCCUGGUAGUCCACGCCGUAAACGAUGGGUGCUAGGUGUGGGAGGUGUCGACUCCUUCCGUGCCGUAGCUAACGCAUUAAGCACCCCGCCUGGGGAGUACGGCCGCAAGGCUA